rnacentral:rRNA from 1 species
UACGUAGGCAGCGAGCGUUGUUCGGAAUUACUGGGCGUAAAGAGUGUGUAGGCGGUGUUCCCAGUCUGUUGUGAAAUCUCCCGGCUUAACUGGGAGGGUGCAGCGGAAACUAGCAUGCUAGAGGGUGGGAGAGGUAAGCGGAAUUCCUGGUGUAGCGGUGAAAUGCGUAGAUAUCAGGAGGAACACCUGUGGUGUAGACAGCUUACUGGACCACUUCUGACGCUGAGACACGAAAGCGUGGGUAGCAAACAGG